GCCAGGCAUGGUGGCGCAUGCCUGUAAUCCCAGCUACUCAGGAGGCUGAGACAGAAGAAUUGCUUGAACCCAGGAGGUGGAGGUUGCAGUGAGCCGAGAUUGUGCCGUUGCACUCCAGCCUGGGUGACAGAGUGGGACUCUGUCUCCA
rnacentral:sRNA from 1 species